rnacentral:ncRNA from 2 species
CCUUAAAUAACGGAAACAGGUGCUUACCGGACCGAAAUAGGCCGGAGGCUUAAAAGGGAAGCUCGGUGCAAAGCCGACGCGGUCCCGCCACUGUAACGGAAGAGUCUAUCAGCAUUUAUGCCACUGUCAGCCCGGGCUUGACGGGAAGGCCGCUGACGACGAUGACGCCUCAGCCAGGAGACCUGCCUGUUUCGACGCACUGCU